rnacentral:rRNA from 1 species
AUGGAUCAAAACCUUAAAAUCAUAUUCUGUAAUGUCCGUGGGCUUAAUUGCCGUGCCAAGCAUACCGCAAUCCGGACCGUCAUCUCUGCUGCCUCUCCUUCCAUCGUGUGCCUCUCUGAGACCAAGCUGGAUUUGGUCACGCCCGAGGUCAUCCUUGAGACACUCGGCUCCCUCUUCACCGGCUUCUACUGGCUGUCGGCCGCAGGAACGAGGGGUGGCAUUCUCCUCGCGUGGCGACUCGACCUCGUCAACCUCUCUAGCCCCUCAAUUGGCACCUACCAUGUCUCCCCAGUCGUCUCCACCCCAUCAGACGAGCACCCCUGGUGGAUCACCAACAUGUAUGGCCCUCAGGCCGACGAUGAUAAGAUGGCUUUCCUUACUGAGCUCCAUGAGCUCCACGCCACCAUGGCCGGUCCCUGGCUACUUGGGGGAGACUUCAUGUGA